AUUUUUUCUAGAUCCUCAAAAUGUUUUCAAUUUUUGUCUUAGUUAUUCGCAUGGUCCGGAUACUACCUCAUCUAGUGAUGAUGAUUAGAUCAUAAAAGGUAAAAAAUACCAGUACAAGGCAUAGAUUUUCAGAUAAAGUUCAACCUCAUCGUAAUUUUGUUUUAAUUCAAUUGUAUUGAUAUAAUACGUCAUAUAAAUAAGUUGGUAAAUUAUAUUGUUACACACCUUAACUUUAAAGAAUUAUCUAAAUGCAUUUACCUAUAAUACAUAAUUAUAAAUAUAAUAUGAUAAUAUAUAAUA